CUGUUUAUUAGGGCUUCCAGGGUUGUGUUUGAAUUAUCUUCAAAGCUGAGCAGUGAAGGCUGAUCUAGGCACUAAAACCCAGAGAACCAUGUUACCGGUUCAUUUUGCCAGGUACCAAUAUGUGUCGGGUGGAGUUUAUAUUCCAGAGACAGAGCUCAGUGCCGGGGCCUAACAUUGUGCCUGGCAUGCAAUAGGCACUCACUGUCACCUGCACAGUUAGAAGUCAUCCUUGCCAUCUCUGAGCAUGGACUCUGAAAAGAAAACAGACAUGAAGCUGCUGAUAGCGACUCGGCAGCACACGGCUGCGACAUUGUGUUUAUAGUGAGUCAGACUAAGUUUUACUGGUCCAGAGAAGACAGGCAUCAAGAUGACUGAGGCCGUGGGAAGGCCUGGUGAAGCCGGGUGGACCUGAACUAGACAGAACAGAGGUUGGGGAGGACCUGGACAAAGAGAGGGAGAGUGAGGGGGCUGAGGUUAGAAAUUUAUGUGGCGUGAUAAAGGGAACUAGUUGGAAUGGCAGUAGCUGGAGUUGGAAUGCCACCCACUUAAAUCUGGCUUUUCUUGUGCUUAGUGGGAAACAUCUGCCCACUUGAGCUCAACUGUGACAGAGUGAAAUUGAUUUUGGGGGGAACAUUGCUCUGGCUAGUGGUCUACAGCAUGCUGCAGCAUGGAUGGCCGGGGACAGACUAGGAACCUGGACUUUCUCCAGGUGCUGCAGGAACCCAGGAAGACGGAGAGCAGCAGACCCAGAAGGACACAGCUGGAAGCAGAAGUGAGGACUCAGACUCCAUCUCACUCACGACACACGGACAUGGCAUCUCUAUGAAGGCGGCGAUGAUCAGGUUUCAAAGGACAAUGCAGCACGCUGAGGAGAAACCAUCUCCAGAAAGCAAGGACCCCUAAGACUCGCAAGAUAAAAGGACCUUAUUUUCUUGGCAAGCUCUGUAGAUGUUCUGCAAUGACGGAUGAUAUGACUGUUAUCUUGACACCGUACUCUCCCAUGUUGAAACUGUUUAUGAGAACCAAACAUCAUAUGAAGAACAGAUUGCCAGACGCUAAGUAAAUCAUUGUAAAGGGUGGUGAGUCAAGUAUUGCCAGUUUUACCCACAUUGUCAUUGUUAUGAUGUAACACAUUCCUUAAGACUGAUAUUGUCUCCAAAUUUGGGCACAAAAGCCUCCUCUUGAUCAGUUGGCUGAGAACCUCCGCCUCCUGAUAAUGUCCCACUCAGACACAGCUGCAGAGACCCACGCAUUCAGAUUUGGACAGACACCCAACCUGAGUUAAGCACAAAGAACAACCCAGAAAAGAUAGAAUAUUUUAAAAGGUGUGCGGAGAUUACACAAACUGUAAAUUUCAACCCUUGCUCAAGCAAUAAACCCUGUAAUCCUCUAAGCUCUGCUAGCCAUGAUUAAUAAACAGUGGGUGUGCUAAGCAUAUGGAAAAAUCAUCCCAUCUGGACCAUUUAAAACUAGGACAUAGACUUUAUCUUUGUUUAUUUCAUCCUUAGCUAAAAGGCUUAUUAUGAAUUGCAAUAAUCCAAGAAGCCAACCAUGGAGGACAGACAAACUCUUUAGAUAAAACCAAAAAAGCAAGCUCUGUAACUGAGGACCAGAUGUAUUUUUGGGUUUAGCUCUUGUACAUAUUUAGCCGAGCUUUUCAAGUGGGGAAGAUUUGCAUGUUUGUUUUGCAAUACUAAUGAAUAUGUUUUUGAUUUACAUUUUAGAAAAUGGAAACUUUUAUCUUCUU